AAUGUAUAGCAAUAGCUACUUGCAUCAUUGUAAAUAUGAUGCAAAAUCGACUAUGUCGAAUAAAAUUCUAGGUAGAAUUAUGAUAAUGACAUUGUCUGCCUAUGUGUCUUGACCAAAUUACGUGCCAGCAGUCGCGGUAAUACGUAGAAGACUAGUGUUAUUCAUGUUUAAUCGGUUUAAAGGGUACCUAGACGGUAAAUCAAGCCUAAAAGGAAAUAAAUGAAGGGACUAAUUUACUAGAGUUACUUAUGAGGGGGUAUUAAAGUACUGCUGGUGUAGAGAUGAAAUUCUGUCAUACCUCUUUUCAAUAGAAAAAUAAUGGCACAGGUAUAGGCGAAAGCAUCCCCUUAUGUGAUAACUGACGUUGAGGGACGAAGGCUUUGUGUAGCGAACAGGAUUAGAUACCCCAGUAGUCAAAGCAGAAAAUGAUGAAUGUCAUAGAUUAGAUAUAUAAGUUUAUUCUAUAAAUGAAAGUGUAAGCAUUCCACCUCAAGAGUAAUUUGGCAACAUUGGAACUGAAAUCAUUAGACCGUUUCUGAAACCAGUAGUGAAGUAUGUUGUUUAAUUUGAUGAUCCGCAAAAAACCUUACCACAAUUUGAAUAUUUAUAUCUUUUAUUGUUUUUCUUUUUAACUUUUUCUAAUUUUCUACUUAAAAGAAAAAAAUAACAAGAAAAAAGAGACAAUAAGAUAUAUUUACAAGCGUUGCACGGCUGUCUUCAGUUAAUGUCGCGAGACUAUGGUUAGUUCCAUUAAAUUAACGUAAACCCUUACUUUAUUUUUAUAUAGAGUAGUUCCCCGCUAUAUUGGAUAUGAUAACAGG
rnacentral:rRNA from 1 species